rnacentral:rRNA from 1 species
AUACGGAGGGUGCGAGCGUUAAUCGGAAUUACUGGGCGUAAAGCGCGCGUAGGCGGCUUGGUCAGUCGGAUGUGAAAGCCCUGGGCUCAACCUGGGAAUUGCAUUCGAUACUGCCAAGCUAGAGUAUGGGAGAGGGAAGUGGAAUUUCCGGUGUAGCGGUGAAAUGCGUAGAUAUCGGAAAGAACACCAGUGGCGAAGGCGACUUCCUGGCCCAAUACUGACGCUGAGGUGCGAAAGCGGGGGGAGCGAACAGGAUUAGAAACCCUAGUAGUCC